rnacentral:lncRNA from 1 species
CAGUGUCAUGUGCGUCAACAUGGUAAGCAUGUCUUCUUUUCGGAUUCUAAGUUAGUUGUAAAAGUAUUCCAUGCUACUAUUUGUUGACCAGAAUUGGCUACCAGGUUGGAGAUUUGGGAUCGGAUGCUGCGCCAAGAGCGAGGGACCGAGGUGCUGAACUAACAGCAGGGGGAGGGUGAUUCUUCAGGUACCAACAUGGCUGUCGACUAGAGAAUUUAGUUAACCGUUUGCUUUACUUGAAGCUCCAAAUUGUAGUUAUUUUAUUCGUUCACUAAUUUGGUAUAAUCCUAAUCUAGGAGGACUAUGAUUGUAUGAUAUGAGAUCCUGACAUUUAGCAAUAAUAAAGGUCUGACACUGAAUGGUUCUUUUCGGAAGUACAGUUGUAAGAUCUAAGAUUCUAGCUUCGACCUUUAACUGGACAGUACUAAUUGGACAUAUAAUUGAUUAUUUAUGCACAACAAGAUAUUCUGUUUGUUUUAGUUUUUCAAUCAGAUUCAUCUAGCCCUUUGUUGACUUUCUAAUUGUUCCACCCUCUACCUCUGAAACUCAGAAAUCAGAGAAAGGUCAUUGGCAUAUCCCUAUUUCUGACGAAAAUUUGCUAGCGAGGAAGAGGACCAGAAUGUUUUUUCUAUUGUUGGGGAUAUACAUAAUACAUAUAGAUAAAUUUGGAUCAUUUAUAACAGAGAUUUCUUGCCAAAAAUAUUAACUCUGUCCAGCAGUGGGCACUGUCAAGGUAAUAACAGAAAUUUGCUGAACCUAAUUGAAAUAAAGAGGGAUGGUAAUCCGAUUGAGAACAUUCUCUAACUAAAAUAGACUUACGAACAAUAACAAUAUCAAAUAGUUUCAAAUUAACAAAUGUUGUUUGAUUAAAAUACUGAUUUAAGAAUUUGGCGAAUCUAUAAUUCUCUACAUAAUCACUUGGUGCAUUGUUAGACCACUUGGGGACAAUAUCAUCAAUUUCUUGCAUACUGCAAUAAUGCAAGUUUAAAAAGCCAGUUUCUUGUGUUUCUUAUUAUCUCUGUGUUCAGCUAACUGCCAAGAAUCAUAUAAGGAUGCAUCUAAUGAGGUAGAUUUUGUUUAUGCAUUUUUAAGUGUAAGGAUGUUGUAUCUGAUUAACAAAACAUUGUUCAACCUUCUAUGAGUCCACCUAGGGAGCUGCACAAAUUUGGAACAACUUCCAGAACAGGCAUCCAAGCAUUUUGGUCUGCUACCAGUAAGCUGCCAGAGCAAGAUAGCUGGGAGUCUGGGAUUUCGAGUCGUCGAGCCGUCCAAUGCCAAGUUCGCUGGCGGAAGGAGAACAUCCGUCAAGCCGUCCGUCGCCUGGGGCGGCUACACCAGAGGUAUGUCUCCUAUUGAAAGUUAAUCGCCUGAGUUGUCCAUUGCCUGAGCCGUCCAUCGCCUGAGCCCCUGUUUCAGUUUAUUUUUCCCGCCUCGCUGCUCAAUAGGUCUGUGGGUUACUACUCCUUUGCUCUUGCUGGUGACCGGCCUCCAGAGUAGCACUUGCUUGAGAUCUGAUCUAGAACUGAAUUGUGCCCUGCUUUGCUGUGGUCGUAUGCUUUGUGUCCACCGAUGAGUUUCAGAUACAGAUUAGGACCAAAAUUGGAGUAGGUUCGGCCGCGCAAAUGUUGUAUCACUUUGUCAUGGGUAUUGUGCUCCUGAAUUGCUUGUUGGACUGUUCAAACUAAAGUCGUCCAGUCAGUUUGCUACAAUGUUCAUUUGUUUACUUUGGAAGUUCUGUAGAAUUUGGGCGUGAUCACUUUCGAAUUUGUCUGUAUUCGUACGAGCAUUAAUAGCAUCUGGCCCACUCCUGCGAUGGCUUUUGCAGAAACGGAGUUUAACAGGUUAGCCGGUUAAAG